rnacentral:rRNA from 1 species
AGCGAACGCUGGCGGCAGGCUUAACACAUGCAAGUCGAGCGGGCACUUUCGGGUGUCAGCGGCGGACGGGUGAGUAACGCGUGGGAACGUGCCCUCUGGUUCGGAAUAACUCAGGGAAACUUGAGCUAAUACCGGAUACGCCCUUUUGGGGAAAGGCUUGCUGCCGGAGGAUCGGCCCGCGUCUGAUUAGCUAGUUGGUGAGGUAACGGCUCACCAAGGCGACGAUCAGGAGCUGGUCUGAGAGGAUGAUCAGCCACACUGGGACUGAGACACGGCCCAGACUCCUACGGGAGGCAGCAGUGGGGAAUAUUGGACAAUGGGCGCAAGCCUGAUCCAGCCAUGCCGCGUGAGUGAUGAAGGCCUUAGGGUUGUAAAGCUCUUUUAUCCGGGACGAUAAUGACGGUACCGGAGGAAUAAGCCCCGGCUAACUUCGUG